GACGAACGCUGGCGGCGUGCUUAACACAUGCAAGUCGGACGGUAAGGCCCUUCGGGGUACACGAGUGGCGAACGGGUGAGUAACACGUGGGUGAUCUGCCCUGCACUUCGGGAUAAGCCUGGGAAACUGGGUCUAAUACCGGAUAGGACCACUGCCUGCAUGGGUGGUGGUGGAAAGCUUUUGCGGUGUGGGAUGGGCCGCGGCCUAUCAGCUUGUUGGUGGGGUGAUGGCCUACCGAGGCGACGACGGGUAGCCGGCCUGAGAGGGUGACCGGCCACACUGGGACUGAGAUACGGCCCAGACUCCUACGGGAGGCAGCAGUGGGGAAUAUUGCACAAUGGGCGCAAGCCUGAUGCAGCGACGCCGCGUGAGGGAUGACGGCCUUCGGGUUGUAAACCUCUUUCAGCACCGACGAAGCGCAAGUGACGGUAGGUGCAGAAGAAGGACCGGCCAACUACGUGCCAGCAGCCGCAGUAAUAC
rnacentral:rRNA from 1 species